UGAACGCUGGCGGCGUGCCUAAUACAUGCAAGUCGAGCGAACAGACGAGGAGCUUGCUCCUCUGACGUUAGCGGCGGACGGGUGAGUAACACGUGGAUAACCUACCUAUAAGACUGGGAUAACUUCGGGAAACCGGAGCUAAUACCGGAUAAUAUAUUGAACCGCAUGGUUCAAUAGUGAAAGACGGUUUUGCUGUCACUUAUAGAUGGAUCCGCGCCGCAUUAGCUAGUUGGUAAGGUAACGGCUUACCAAGGCGACGAUGCGUAGCCGACCUGAGAGGGUGAUCGGCCACACUGGAACUGAGACACGGUCCAGACUCCUACGGGAGGCAGCAGUAGGGAAUCUUCCGCAAUGGGCGAAAGCCUGACGGAGCAACGCCGCGUGAGUGAUGAAGGUCUUCGGAUCGUAAAGCUCUGUUAUUAGGGAAGAACAAAUGUGUAAGUAACUAUGCACGUCUUGACGGUACCUAAUCAGAAAGCCACGGCUAACUACGUG
rnacentral:rRNA from 1 species